CCCCGUACACAAAAAUGCACAUGCUGUGAGCUCGAUGAGUAGGGCGGGACACGUGGUAUCCUGUCUGAAUAUGGGGGGACCAUCCUCCAAGGCUAAAUACUCCUGACUGACCGAUAGUGAACCAGUACCGUGAGGGAAAGGCGAAAAGAACCCCGGCGAGGGGAGUGAAAAAGAACCUGAAACCGUGUACGUACAAGCAGUGGGAGCACGCUUAGGCGUGUGACUGCGUACCUUUUGUAUAAUGGGUCAGCGACUUAUAUUCUGUAGCAAGGUUAACCGAAUAGGGGAGCCGAAGGGAAACCGAGUCUUAACUGGGCGUUAAGUUGCAGGGUAUAGACCCGAAACCCGGUGAUCUAGCCAUGGGCAGGUUGAAGGUUGGGUAACACUAACUGGAGGACCGAACCGACUAAUGUUGAAAAAUUAGCGGAUGACUUGUGGCUGGGGGUGAAAGGCCAAUCAAACCGGGAGAUAGCUGGUUCUCCCCGAAAGCUAUUUAGGUAGCGCCUCGUGAAUUCAUCUCCGGGGGUAGAGCACUGUUUCGGCAAGGGGGUCAUCCCGACUUACC
rnacentral:rRNA from 1 species